GUUGGGUUAGUCCGCAACGAGUUGCAACCCUUAUCCCUAGUUGCCAGCGGUUCGGCCGGGAACUCUAGGGAGACUGCCGGUGACAAACCGGAGGAAGGUGGGGAUGACGUCAAGUCAUCAUGGCCCUUAUGGGUAGGGCUACACACGUGCUACAAUGGCCGGUACAGAGGGCUGCCAACCCGCGAGGGGGAGCCAAUCCCAGAAAACCGGUCCUAGUCCAGAUUGGAGUCUGCAACUCGACUCCAUGAAGCAGGAAUCGCUAGUAAUCGCAGAUCAGCACUGCUGCGGUGAAUACGUUCCCGGGCCUUGUACACACCGCCCGUCACACCAUGGGAGUUGACUGCACCAGAAGUGGAUAGUCUAACCUUCGGGAGGACGUUCACCACGGUGUGGUUAAUGACUGGGGUGAAGUCGUAACAAGGUAGCCGUAGGGGAACCUGCGGCUGGAUCAC
rnacentral:rRNA from 1 species